ensembl:lncRNA
GAAAUUCUGUAUAUUUUUAACAACUUUGCAGCUGCUGCAAUCUCUUGGUUGUUGUUUAAAUUUGCUGAUAAAGCUAUUUGAGGAGGAGGGACAGUGGUAGACUCCUGAGGAGUCUGAAGAGAAAGGCACAGGCCUCUCCCUCCUUUCACCCAUGCACUCAAUGACUUGGAUUUCUUUGUAACUUAAGCCGGUGGGACACAACCAUGUGUCUUGGUCUUGGGGCUCACACUGGUUGCUUUUUUUUUUUUUUUUUUUUUAAACCCUCUCUGCCCAAGAAAAUUCUGAAUUGGUUUACUAAACUGUCCUGACUCUUGUGCUGAAGUCUGAGUUUGUAAGCCCACAUCUUUGAAAAGGGUUGUCAGACUGGAUGAUCAAGAUGGGCCCUUCGAGUCCUGAAGCCUAUGGAGCUCUGAUCUAAAAUGACAUGAUCACACACCACUUUCCCCUCAGCGAUGCUGACUUCAGUGCACCAGGAGUCACCAAACAAGGAUUUUGGAAGAUGCAUAUGAUUUACCAGUCUACUAUGCUAACAUCAUUUUGACAGGUGUGAUGCAUCAACACAGUAUUAUAAGCUUAAGAUAAAUUACAGCAUUCUUUUUCAUCAAGCAGCAAACUGCAGUGGAGUAUUGCACAAAGCUCAGUGUGUUCAGUCAGUAGGCAUUUGUGCCUGCAGCCUAAAAUAGAAUGUCUUUCUGUGAUGGGUUAAUCCCUCUUUGGCUCUGAUCCUGGGUAGAUUACUAGUUAUAGCAUGCCAUGAAAGACUGCUGUGUAAGGCAAGUAUUUCACUUAAGUCACUUACCACAUUUUCUGGACAACAGAAAUUUCUUGUGCAUCUGCUAGAAAUGUGGGGAUAAUUUAAUUGCCUUUGCUAAGAUUUCCAAUGUAAUUUAAUAAUCAUUUUUAUUAGAAUGUGCAUAUUGUUAGAAGUUAUCAGAACACUGUUACUCCUGGUGCAUUCUGAACAGCAGGUAGAAAAAUCAGACUUUGAUUUUGACUAGGGGUCCUAAUCAUUUCUUUUCAUAAUUUAGAGCACAAAAUGUGUUUGGUCAUUCUCUAUCACUUAUUAUCAUUAUUAUUAUUAUUAUUUUUAAUUCUGGUUGUCUGAACUGUAUGACAAGACCGCAUUCUACUUUACAUUUACCCAAAGGUCAAUAAAUAUCAGAACUUGGCAAAGAAACAAUGAAUAUUCUUCAAACAUUUCCCUGCAAGAAAAAUAGGCUCAUUUCAGCUGAGUGGAUGUCUCUAUUUGAAGGAUAUUUUUCACUGACAUUCAAUUAAUUGAAUUUUCCUGAAGUGGAUGUAUGUAGAAGCUAAGUGAUAAAUUUUAGGAAGUGUACACUUUUAUUUCCCUUAGUUUUAGUGCCAAGUAGGGCUGCAUUUAUAGUGCUUCAUUUUUAAGAUGGUCUAUACAGUGAUUUUUAUCAAAUGGUCCUAUUUGAAAUGUUCUAGCUUGGUAUCCAAAUCAUUAUCUUCAUUUGCAAGUCAGCAAAAUUCUGUGGAUUACAAACACUUAAGCUUUCAGAGCUUGACAUGUGGUCAGAGAAUGGAAAUGGCACUGUGCAAUGGCCAUAACUAGCCAAAUCUCCCAGAUAUUUUGUGGGAGCUUUAUGUAUGAAGAAAUGUUGAGAUGUUAGAAAAAUAGGACAUUAACCAAAAGUAAUGAAAAUGUCAGCAAAAAGUACUGAGUUAAAAUUUAUAAAGAUAAUUCUUGAGGAAAUUAAUUUGUAAACAUUUGUGAAGGGAAAGGAGAAAAGCUUGUGAGAGAAACAAAUACUUGAAAUAAAUAUGGGUAACUAUAAGGAGCAGGAAUUGUUUUUAUUUUUUUUAUUCUAAUAUCAUUGCUAUAUUUUGUCUUUUUUUCCAUUCUAUUUCUAUUUAGAUUUUAGCUCAAAAUGGAGAUGGACUGAUCUAAAAUAUUCGUCAAAAAUGCUUAAACACAUUGAGAACCCAAAUAUACUUUUAAAUAUGGUCAAUGUGUGUCUUUUGUACAUAGAUCUGUGUUCAUAGUACUAGAAAACUGUUGAGGCCAAAUAGUAGAGAGCUUGGACCCUGACGGUAUGCAGUCUUGUUUACACAGAUUAGACUGAAUAGAAAGUCUAUGGCUGGCUGUGAAGACUGCAAGAUUUUCAGGCUGAACAGGCUCAUAUGGAAGCAGCUGAGGCUUUGUAUGAAAAAGUUAGCUUUGUAAAUGAGGAAAGUGAAUAACUGAAUAAAUGCUCAAAUCUUACUCCCUUUUGGUAUAAGAAAGUGGGAGAUACUCUGCAUGGGUGAUUAACUGUAGUGCAGUGAUCACUUUUCAGUCCAGCCUCGACUCCAUUUUAGACAUCAAAAAAAGGUUUAUAAAGCAAAGUAGUCUUCAAAAUUUUCUGUUAACAAUCAUUCUGAGGAAGAGAUUAAAAAAUGUCAAUGAAAUCAGAAAGUCAAGAGGUUUAUUUGGCAUAAUGGGUGAACAGGGAAGUUCUGUUUUUCAAGGAAGAUCAGGGAGUUCAAUGGUAGGUACAAGGCCACAGUACUAAAUGCUGACAUGGACUUUCCAAGGUUGCCCAGAGUAGUGCUAAAGUCAAUAAUUCCAUAUUGCACCUGUCAGAAGCUACAACAUAAUUGCUUUGAAGUGAGGCAUAUUAACAUCCAUGUGCUCAGCAAACUAAGCAAUUAUAAACAGGUCUCUGCUCUCCCUGUUGGCUGUUAUAAUUAUUUGUUCAAUUUGUUGCUUUGCCUCAAUUCUAGUUAAUGUGACUUAUGAGCACUUAGCACAUGCUGGAAAGACAAGGGAGAGAUGUGGCUGCUGGUAGUCUGGCAGUAGUCCACAAACUGUGACCUUAUAGUGACAGGCAAAGAUGGGGCUGAUAGUCAGGAAGGAGUACAGGAUUGUAGGGCAGGAUGCUGCCAGUUGGCAUGGAAACACUAACUCUCAAAGCAUUAAGAUUUUAAAGAAACCAAACUUUUCUUUUCUUUUCUUUUUCCUAGAACAAGAUAGCAAAUGAUUUUGUAACAGUUGCAGAGACUGCUGAUUUUGCCUUUACAAGAUCAUACACACAGUACUACAGGAAUUUGAAAAAAACAUAUAUCUCUCAAUAUAUUACAUGGGAAAUGAGGAAAAUUGUGUUCUUAUGAAAUUUGUUAUCACUGAGUUCGCCCAAUAUGCAGGUGAUUACUUGAAUUUUCCAAGCAGCAGAUGUUCGGAAAUGGGGAGACAGAAGCUGGCCAAGAAAGCUGCCUCAGCAGCAGUGUGGGUUAUAAAUUCAGCAUGGACAAUCUGUUCUUCAAAGUAGAGCUAAAGUGAUUUAAAAGGUUCGUCAAGGUCACGUAGGAAUACUGUACAGGAGUGCUCCAAAGCACCAGCUGUCAGGACUGUCAAGUCUUGCUAAUGAACAGUGGAAUUUGUAGAAAAUAAUACUAAUGCUAAUUGAAACCUGAACAGCUUAGAAGUCUAGCAGGUUAUUGCUAUUGAUUCAUAUCCUAUGAUAAUGUCUCCUACAGAGCAUGCAGAAGUGCCUGUCUACCUGUAGUAUUAGCUAAUCCAUUGUUGAUGCCAUUCAUACAAGUAUCUGGAAGGUCUGAAGCCCUCUUCAGAGAGAGGGGCGUUCUAUUACUAUAGAAAUGAUGGAUCACUUUCUGAUUUUGUAAUAAAUUCUGAGCAGUAUCUUCACCUCAGAAAAGGAGAGGAAAGUGCCAAGAUAGCUUACAGUUCAUUAGGAUUUUUUCCAAGGGCUGGAGUGGGUCUGAAUAAUCUCAGUUAUAAUUUAAUUAAUCUAAUUAUCUUAGUUUCUGUUUUGGGGAAAGAGGUGGAGGCCUUUUUUAUAAAAAGGAUUAAUAAGGAACCAUUAAUAAGGAACCUAGCAGCAGUUGUGUCUUAGGUAUAUGUGCCAAGUCUGACCCUAGAGUUGAAAGAGAGAUAUGUAAAUUCUGGACCUUAAAAUGCUAAAUUGCCCCUAAAUUGCCAAUUAUGAUCACGUGUGUCUGCAUAGGAGAACAAAUCAGAACUCACCCUAGCUCUGGUCUCAUGGUCCAACUGCAGGCACACAGCACUGAGUUUAAUCAAACAAGCCUCACUUCUUCAUUCAGGAAUCUCUGAAGCUCCAUGGUAUGUAUUCCCUAUGUUCUUCUUUAAAUUCGGUUCCAUUUUAAAAUUAGAACUUACAUGGCACUAAGAAUAAUACCGAUAUCUAAGUAGACUGUCUCUCAAGGGUUACAUGACACAUGUAACAAGUAUGUUCAAUUUCAAUGCAGUUUGUAGACUUCGUUAAAGAGAGCAACAUUAUCCCACAAACAGCAUCCAAAACAUUCAAAAAAAUUUUAUAGACCAACAGUGAGGGCCUUGAUAAUGAAGAAAUUUGGUCAGUUUUUUCUCUACAUUGACUUAUGAAAUUUCUUUAAUUGAGUUUUAUGAAAUUCAUCUCAGAAAUUUAGUAAAUAAAAAUCACAGGUUGCAAAUGGUAUUUGUGUAGAUAUGUAAAAGAUCUACAGGAAGACCCUUUGAAUUUUGGGAAUGUGAGCCUAUUUCUACUACUCAAGUGGUACAGAUCCUGAGUGUCACUUAUUAAGUUAUUACUGCAAAACCACAGACUUCUCAUGUCACCAGUUGGACCUCCCUUUGCUUCUUGUCACUGCUUUUACUGUGCUGCCAGAACAAAUACAUUCAUUGAGUGGUAAGUUAUAAUUUUCCAGAUUUAUGCAGUGUUGGAAUAUUCCCCAUGGUAUCUUUCUGUGCACAUUUUGCAAUUCAGCUGCUUAAGGAAAAUUCUGGGAUUUGAAUUGCAAUUAUUUUUAAGUAACAAGUAAUUUAGUAUAAAAAUGGUCUGGUGAGUGUCACAGUUGUCUUUAUGGUCUUAAGUUUCAACUUCACACUGUGAAGACAGUAAGGUUUGUUCGUCAGCCAGAUCUUGAAGCUGAGAAUAGAAUUAAUUAACUGAGAUUGGCAGUAUAUGCUUUCCCUAUGUCAGGACAAAACUUUACCAGUGUUUUGAAAACAACCUUCCAGUUGUUUUUAUAUUAUUCUGACACUUUCUGGGAGUAGUUUUCAUAAACUGUUUUUACAAAUCACUGACAAAUAGGAUCGUAGAAUCAUAGAACAGUUUGGGUUGGAAGGAACUUUAAAGACCAUGGAGCUCCAACCGCCUGCUGUGGGCAGGGCUGCCAAUCAUCAGAUCAGACUGCCUGGGGUCCCAUCCAACCUGGCCUCAAAUAACUCCACAUAUGCCUAAUAUUGAACAAAAUGAAUAUAAAUAGUUCAAGAUUCAAGGAACUUAGGAUAUAUAAAGGCACCUAUAUAAUGCAGUUCAGUGCACAUUGAAUGUUCCAAGUAUGAUCAGUGUAAGACCUUGUCUUUCCAUUUUCACAUUCAUAUUUUCAGGUUAGCACGAAGAAAGUUACUGUUCUUUAAUACAAAUGAGAUGAUCAAAAUUAUAUUUAUCUAUCUGAAAGAUUUUGAAGAUUUAAUACCUCUGUUAGUCCAUCUGCAGAGCCAACAGAAAUCCCAAGGUGGCCAUCUGGACAGAUUUCACUUCUAACAUUCAGCCACCAUUACUGUCUCUUCUCUUAGAAAUAUGUAAUUUGUGGGAAGCAGACAGAAGCAGUGUUAAGACAGCUGCCUGAAGUCUAGCUUUCUGGUCAGGUAAGUGUGCUGCAGAAACUAGAGAUCCGCAUGGCCGAGGAAACUGUAUGGAGUGGUUAAAAAUAGCUGAUGCACUGAACUAGUCAGUUUUCAUAUUGGGCUCAUAUAGGGCAGAGACUGUUAAUGAUUGUUGAAGCGUGUAUUCAUAGGAAGUUGACCAUGUGGAAACCUGGCCCAAAUCACCUCAGUCCCCAGUACAUACAUAGAAAUUACCUAGAACCUUGUAAAUAAGGAAUACUCAUAAAUGUUUUUCUUCUUUUAAAAAUGACUUAAUGGUUACAGUUUUCCAUUCAGAAUACCUUUAACUGUUUAAUGAAGCAUCGUGUACAGUAUGAACUACAUAAUAAUUAUAGGUUUUGGAGCUGUUUGUAAGUGAUAGCUUACAAUAAAAAAUGUCUGACUUAAGAAAACAGUCUUGCUCACAGAAUAGUAAUUUUAGCAUAAAAGUUUAUGAUUUUUUAUAGCUUUAUAACAUUUGAUGAUGCUAUAAAGCCCUCACAGUCUUUACUGUUUAAAAUGAUUUGAUAGCACACAUACGUUGUGUGAAUGCUGCAUUCUUCAUCAAAUUUUAUUUUUGCUUCCCGUUCUGUUAAAAAAUAAAAAUGUAGCAUGCAAAUACAGAGAUGAUUAUUUCCUACUUCAGUGUUUUAAACAUUUGACGUAGAGUGGAUGGUUAAAAAAUGAAAAAAUGUUUGUAGUUCUUAAAAAUUUUCAUUAUAUAUGCAUGGAAAAAAUUAGAAAAAUGUAAGAUAAAUAGAAUGAGCAAUAUUCUGUGAGUUUUUGUUUUUGUGCUUUUGUUGUUGCUGCUUUUUUUUUUUUUUCCUAGAAGUGAAAUGAAUAUUGAUGAAAGAAAGGAAAAUAAAGAAAUCAAGAAGUACAAAUGAAACACAUCUGUAUGAUUGCUGUUUUCCCAGAGAAGAGCUGAAAUGCAUUAUGAAAUAUUCAAAGCUUUGUUAUGUUGGUGAACUCAGAGUGUCAAAGACAGACACACAUUGUUUGAAAAGCUUAAUCUGGAAAAAAAGAGAGUAAAGUUUGAAGAAGGAUAUGUGAGGACAUAUUUAACUACUGUAAGACUUCUUGCAUGCAUAGAUGUGCAUUUAUGUGUCACAUGCUCAUCAGAAUCUACCUACACACAUCAUAUUAACGUUGAUAUAUUAAGAAGUCUUCUUUAUUAGCGUCUUAAUUUCUCGAAUAACACUUUGGAAAAAAUACUUUACUCACAGGAUUUUUUUCCUUCUGCACUUUGGAAGAUCCUCAGAUCCUCACAGUUUACCUGAGAUGGAAAGAUUUAUGUUAUCUCAAAGUAAUGCCAGAAUGUACUCAUUCUAAUAAUUUCAGAACUAAUGAUCACAGACAGAUGACUAAAUCAACCUAGCAGCUCUUUUUCUGUGCUGAAGUCUUUCUGUAUUUACAGAUAAUAAAAGACUAGAAGUCUUAAUAACAUCUAGUAUAAUCAGCUUAAGAUUUUGAGUUUUAUAAUGGACACAUGAAACUGAUAAUUGUUUCCAGUAGGCACAUCUAUCUGGAGCUGGAAAGCUGUUUCAAAUUCACUUUUUCUAUAGAACAAGGGCUGCUCCAGAAGUAAUGCCUCCUGUUUUAUUAUGUUGGCCUACAAUGUCAGAAGCAGGUGUUCGUGGCACGGCAGCAGGAGCUGGACAUUCCCACCAAAAUUUCAUUAUAUUUUGUUGCUCUGUGACAGAUGAAAGAAGAGGGACAGUCUGAGAAAAUGGCAUUUGACAUAGAAGUAAAUAUGUGCAAUUGAAUUCCUCCAUGCAUAGAAAAAUUGUACCCAUUGACAUUCAUUGACACUUGCUGCAAGUUCGUAGAGACCAUACAGUGGGUGUGAGCACACUAAGGUGGAGGAUGGUGUGUUACAGCAGUGGCAACAGUGACGUGAAAGAUAAACCACGUCUUAUGAGAAAGGCAUGCAGGCACUUGUUCAUCAGUGUCAAAAAUGUGCAAUUAAUGGUUGCUACUACACUGAAAAUAAAUGUUUUGUGGCUGAGAAUAUUCUCUAUCAAAUAGUGCUAUUGUGCUGUUUGCAGGUGGUGAAUUUUUCAUGGAAAUAAAUAGGAGGCAUUACUUUCAGAGUGACCUAUGUAUGUUCUCCACUUUUUUUGAGAAGACCUAUUGAAGUUGGCAUAAUAAAAUAAUUUAUUCAGACAUUCAGUUUUCCUUAUAGUUCUGUCUUAGGCCCUUCCUUAUUGGACAGGCUACGUUUGACUUUUCAGAGGAGAUUAGGUCAAAGUCUCCAUCAGUUGCAGGGUCAGGAUUCUUUCCAUUUCCAACUCAAAAUCAGUCUUUUUUUUUUUUUUCUUGUAUCAUUGUACGGGAAAAUAAUAAAGAAUGUAUACUUUGUUUAGGUAUGUCUAUUACACAUUUGUGAGGUGGUCCCAUUGCUUUAAUGUAGAUGGAAUCUUUGCAGUAACAUAGAGAAAUGUGUUUACACAGUUAUGUUUAUUCACUCUCAUAUUCUGCCUUUGAAAGAAGGACAAAUGUAUUUGCCUAAACUGUAAAAUGCUUUUUGCUAAUGCCUCUGAAUUCUUUACACUUACUGUUUUCCCUUCUUCCUAUGUCUCUUUAUCCCUUUGGAAUAUGAUCCUUUUCUCUCUGUCAUUUAGAUUCCUAUUCUUGACUACUGCAAGAUUCUUUCCUGCUACAUAGGAACCUAUGUUUUUCAAGUUUUUACUUUUGACCAAAGCUGUGUUCUUUGGCUCAUUUUUUACCCUCUUAUAUAACCUUCACUGAACUGAAAAAAAUGAUACAAGAAUUGUCUUUUAAACUUGAAUGAAGCGAUAUCAAACACUGUGCUGCCUAACAUAGAGAAAUGAAUUGAUUUGGGGAAAUUAAAUAUUGAUAUUAUGCUCUCAGGGCCAGCACAAAACUAGGCAAUUUCACAAAUUUUGCAUGGACCUCUGAGAGUUAGUGUGAAAAUAUAUUAAAGUAAAGGAAGUAGGGCAAGUGGCUAAAAGAAAGGAGUCUGUAGCUGACAUGUCGGCAUUGUAAGUUUUCAGCCCUUCUGAGCAGAGCUCCACUGAAUGUAAAAUGGCAAAGAGGAGAGGGUCUUUUGUGUCUCUCCUCAGAUAGGGGCAUUGACAACCUGAUUCAUUUUCAGUACAUGCUCUUGUACCUGCAUGAAGCAACUGUAGAACUACAGAGGACUUUCACUUGAAUUUGGUCCCUAGCUUAAGCCAAACAAAAAGACUUCUCUUCACAAGCUGCAGAAAUAGUUAAAGGGUAAGAAAUUUCAUGUCGGUCAUCAGUAUCAGAAAGUACUGCUGUGAAUGGUUUUGAUUUAUUUUAGUCUAUCAAGCUGAAUGUUAAUUUUCAUGCUAGAAAGAUGUCUUUUCUUCCUUGAUUUAUUAAAUAAAAAUAGGUAAAAAAAAAAAAAAAAGAUUCUUUUAAAGAUACUCUUAAAUGUAUCUACUAUGAUUUAAAUUAAGCAUUAGCUUUUAUCUCUAAAAUGAAGAGCUCGGUUUACUUCUCUUAGUGACUUCGGUUUUAGAAGAAAAAAUUGUGUCCAUGUUCAGUUAUAUGUUCGAAAAACACUUAGUUACAGUCAGUUACAUAUACAUCUCCAAAUACCAGUAAAAUUUCCUCCACUUGUCUGUGUGUGUGUGUGUCUGUGUGUGCAGAUAAAGAUAGAUCGUCAAGCUCUUACCAUCUAGACACUCUUCUAUGUAUUAGGAAGGGAUACGUUGUGAAGUAGGGCAUAAGCUUAUAAUCUAAGGUCAUAGAUUUGGAACUGCCUUGGAAGUGGUGUGUGAUGCUCAGCAAGACUGCUUUUCUUAACCUUUAUUGUUUGUGAAAUUCAGAAAUGUGCUUCCUGCUCGUACUAGUAAAAAUAACUUGUCUUAUUUUCAAAAUGGAACACGUGUAAAAAACAGCAUGAAAUAUUUUUUUCUACUAAGGAAAGUUUGCCUUGCUUUCUUAAAAAUGAACCCACUAAUCCCUUCUAGAUAUUCAGCAUGAAUGUCAUUUAGCACAGUCUGAGAGCAGAUAAAUAAUCCCAUUCUUCUCUGUUCUCAUUUUCUUAUAUUUCACUGUAUGAAUAAAACCACUUCGUACACUGCUAUGAAAGAGACAAUAUUUAGAAGCCAUAGAGAAGACUAUCAAUUCAUGAAACUGAAUUCUGUAAAGAAAUUCACUCUGAAACAAAAGUAUAUUUUAAAUGUUUUUCAUUUUGAAUAAACUAUACUUCUGUAAAGAUGAAUUUGUUAAAUCAAAAAUUUCUCAAAAUUGUGAUAAAAGAGAAAAAACUUGAAAAAAAACCCAAAAAACUAAACCUCUUCAAUGUCCCCAUUCUCCUCCACAUAAAUCUUCUGUUUAAUAUCAAGUAUCUAAACAUAAACCUAAUUUAAACCCUUUUAAAAUAGUAUUUUCUACUGUGAUUUCUGUAUUAUUAUUAUGUGUUAUAUUUACCUGUAGAUCUUUAACUGAUCUAGAUGAUUUUGAACUUUCUACUGCUGACUAUAUUUAUUCUUUUACAUAUGAAAAUGACUUUACAUAGUACACCAUUUUAUGAAUAUGACUGUAUUUAUUUCUUCUAGUAGGCCGAUAGUCUUUAAGCCUUUUAUUGUUAUUUAUUUUAAAAUGGGUAUUCUGAUGAAUUAUGAGCAUGUGCUGAAACACUAUCUGUAGCUCAAGUUGGAAUACAGCUUUUUGUUCUGUGUACUUUACAGCACUUAAAUCUUUCUCCUUCCCGGACUCUCUGUAUUUUUUUUCAUUUUUAAAAGCCUUCUGUUUAUUGCUUCCACUAAUCUUUAGAUCUCUACUUAACCUCAUUGCCCACUGUUGCCCUUUUCUACAUUUAGAUUUAACCAGCAUGUCAAUUACAGUCUCUCCAGAAAAUUUCUGAAGCAUUUUCCAUUUUUAAUUUUAAAAACCCACCUUUUAAAAUGGUACUUGAACAAUAUCACAGCUUUCUUCAAGUACUGUGUUCAGAGAACUCUGUGUUCUUCCUGGUCCUUAGAAAACGUCAGUAGAAUUGGAGAAAAGAUGGAAUGUAAAGAUAUAUGUAUAUAUAUUUAUAUAAAAAAUAUAUAUGUAUAUAUAUUUAAAUAUCCAAAAAACCUCGUGAAAUUCAUUGAAUGUACUCGCUAUUGAUACAGUCUUGAGAGAAAGCCAAGUCACAAGUGUUAAAGGGUCUAAGUCUUACACACAAAAACUGAAGCACCUGUGAGAAGUCUGAGAGAAAUCAAGAAUGGUGUAACAGGUGUAUCUGAGAAGAUAAAAUAAAAUACAGAUGACUCCUUAAGUUCUAGAGCAGGGCUAAUAAUACCCAUCUUCCAAAGGUCACUCACUGCUGGAGUUACUGUUUUUUAUUGUUCUAAAUUAUCAUAUUCUUGGCAGUUUUUAAUGCUAUCAGCAAAUUCAUUUCUCACUUUAAUUUUAUUGUCUACAUUUAGAUAAGAUUUUCAUUUUUACCAUUUGAGAAGGUAGAAUGCAGAAACCCAUUGUAUUUUGCUGGAUUCUUUAAAGAUGAGUUCAUAAAUAUUGAAAUAACAUUCUAGACUGUCUUUUGUUUGAAGAUUUUCCAUACAUUUUUUUUCAGUUAUAAAAACAAGUUUUUCUGAAUUUGUCUUGACAAUUUUAUAAGAUUGUGUAUCAUCUAAUUGUGGCUCAGCCUUGUCCACCUUCAGUUCUAUAAGAGAGAAAUUGACAUCUUGGAGUUGUAGAGUUUUACUGCCCAUGUUCAAUUAUUUCUGUCACUUGGAUCACAAUGUGUAACUCUAAAUAAUGCCUUUCUUUCUUUAGUUAUCUUCUUUACCUUUCUAGCAGGUAUGACAAAACCACACCCUUUAUAAAUCAUAAAUAAUUUACUUCUUAUAGCAUGAAUUUUUCUUAGUUGCUACAAAUGAAAAAUAUUUUUGGUACAGGCAAUUAAUGUUCUGAUGGUGCCAGAAUAGGUGCUGGAAUUUAUUUGUUAAUGGCACUAAUUUUGUAUGUUAAAAAUAAUAUGGUUCUCAGCUCUCUGAAUGUGAGAACUUCUCAAAAGGUCAAAUCUGUGUGGUUCAACUAAAAAGAGAGGUGGAAAUUAACUUUGGAACAGGAGGACAUAGUUUAGUUCAUUGGGAGCCAAUUAGUUCUCUUCCAGAAUACAGAAAGAGUAUUGUAAGCAAAUGGUACUAUAGCUGCAUUUGAGUAAAGACACAUGGAGCUGCAUUACCCAACUCAAUUUUUAUGUUUUAAACAACCAUUUCCAUUACCCCUGUGAAACAUCACACAUGGAAGUCUCUUGAGGCUCUGUGUUUCAUUGGUGACUUUCUAGCCUACUUCCCUCAGCCUGCCUCAUUUUUUAAUUUGCACAGUACACUUGAGUUCUUUGGUUAGACAGUCAAAGAAAAGAUCUGUCAGAGGGAUUAGUAAGAAGACUUAAGGUUGUCUCAAGCAAGCUUAUGGUAAAAGGAUUUAAACAUACCAAGCAUUAGUGAAAGUGGUUGGCUAAAGAGGUGCAAACUUUCUACCUGUAGCCUGCUUUUCUGCAAGUCCCCAGUCAGUGAGCAGUUAUUCACCAGCCAUCUACAAAAUACACAGAGGUGUUCAUAUUCUUAAUGAUGUAGUCUAAAACAGUGCAAGGAGCAAAAACAAUAGAAGCAGAAAGAAAGAAUAUCUCAUACCGUCUUCCCCUACUACGGUACAUACUAUAUAAUAAAAAUGUGUCAUGGUUUUAUGAUUUCUGUUAUUGGUAUUCCACAUCAUAACAUCAUGUAGUGCACUUGGUGUUAAAGAGUUAAUGCUCCAGUUGCAUGGAUUGUCAGUAUUUUUGGGUACCUGGUUCUCACAAGAGAAGAACUACAUAAACCAGCAGACUUUUAUUGUUACAUUUCCUGUUUCCAUUUUCCAUUUAGAGGGAAAGAUAAAACUCCCUAGUCAUGAGAUUGGUUCCUUCUUUUACUGCUUGCCCCUGCAGUGUAUUCUUCCUAGCCAUCUCACCUUCAGUGCUAGAGUAAAGUCUUCAGUUUUGGACACUUUCUCAUUUAUUUGAUUUAUUAGCUUCAAUUCCAAUUAUAUUAGAUUACAUUGUGUUAUCUCACAUUCCACUGGCAUAUUUAGUGAAUUAGUUUUCUCCCUUAGCUUGUUGCCACUGUUUCGUUUUGUUUUUAGGCCCUCCUCUCUACCUUUUUCCCCUUUUUCUCUUCCCCCUAUCCUGGGGCAUGGGUCAGUGGGUCCCUCCACUGCACUAGUCAUGGAACUGGGCCAAACUGGCCCCAAACCCAUGCCAAAGUGUGAGAUUUGCAGCUUAGGGAGUCCUACUUCUGGGAAGCUUUAGUUCUGAAGUACCUUGAUCCUGCAGGUGCUUUUGCAUCCUGUCACCCACAGUCUUGCUUACUCUGAAUACAUGCUAUUGCAUACUCUAAGGCACUCUGAAGCUAAGCUUAUACAAUAUGUUUAUAAUCACAUAUUCAUUUCUAAAUGCAUUUUGAUUUCUACUCACUUCAUUGAUGUUUUACAAUAUUGAAUAAUUAUGACGAUUGGUUUUCAGUUAAAGAGCAAAAAUCUAGAGACUCAAAAUACUCAGGUGCAUGAUGAUUCUCCCAGAAAACAGCUACUCAUCUGUUUGGCUGGAGACUAUUCACAUUUUUACCAUGAAACACAUACUAUGAUAAAUAAAAUUGUAUCCUUGGAUAAUUUCUGUGUGUCAGCAAGCAGUUCUAGCCAGGGUGCCCAUGUAUGGUUUCUGACAUGGAAUGACAUGUGUUCACAACUGCCAGUCAUUCUAACUGAAAGAAGGGACAGUCUGCACACAGCAGGGUCAUGACAUCUAGCAGCCUGAGUAAACAAACUAGUGUUUCUCUCUCUCCUUCUUCCUCUUUCCAGACUGCUAAGGAGAAGUCAUAAACAUUUUACUUUUUUGGUUAUUUACUAGAACAAGAAGUCUCUGCUUUCCUUUUUUCAUCCAAGAUGGCACUAUGGAUAAUUUGUAAUUUAGAAGAUUUAGAACAUUUCACCUACUAAGUAUGAUAAAUACAAGCAACCAACAGAGGAAAAGUUACAUUUUAUUUCUUAUGGCAGAUUGUUGUAUUAUGCUUUGCUGAAAUAUAUACAAUUAAAUUGUCCAUCAACUAUUUUAUCAGCAACUCAUUAGAAGAAACUGUACAUUUAAAAUAGAGUAAUAAUGAACUUAGAUACAUUUUUUCAGCACAGCUGAGAGACUGCUUUCCAGUGCUGCCAUAUAAGGUAAUCAGGAAACACUGGACCCUGGUUCUGCUUAUUCAAGUGUAACCAAGAUUUGGAGUUUCCAAGUCCACUUUAAAAACCUUUAACUACUUAAAGCAUUGGAAUAAAGCUGACCACAAAGAUGGAAAAGAGAUGGAAGAGUGAGAAGAAGGAAAAAGAAGUUUUGAAGCAGAGACCAGAAAAAGAAAGACUGCGAAUGAUUUUGAAGCUCAUACAAGAUGUAGAAUGCCAAUCUCUUCUCUGUGUUCUAGAGGAGCUUUAAACAGCAAGCAAUAGAGUUGGCCAACUGAAGCACAUUAUUCAGCUGUGUUCUCUUUGGAGAUAACUGGUAAUUCUGAAAGGGAGAUGAGGGAGGAAGAAAGAAAGAAAGCUAUAACUUCUUGGUUUGUAAAUCUGCUGGUGAUAUAGUGAACUUAGAUUAAUUUCACAGCUCAAUCUUGAUAGUUAAAGUUGUGUUUUGUGUUUGAUCAUCCUAGGCCUGAGAACAUCCCUGUUAACCUUGUUGCAGCUCUCAACAAUGUAAAAAAAACUUCCUACCAAAUUAUAUUUUUAAUACACCUUAUGAUUUGGUAUAGAUAUGAAGGUAGAUGAAGAGGACAUAAAGAGAUACGUAGAAAAAGACCCAUAGUCCUUAAAAGGAGUUUUGCUCACUUCUGUAAAGGGACUGCAACAGUCCUUGUAGUAUUUUUUUUUGCAGGUGCUAUAAGAAUUACUCUGAAUGGCAGAAGAUGAACUUUGGCAGAAAAUACAGCGGAAACUUCAGCAGCUUAGGCAUGGUUAUAUACAGGUCUCAAUUGCUUUUAACUGAAGUCUUGUUUUGUUGUCUACAAAGGUUGUCUUGCUUUCAGAAAAGUAUGAGCUAUGUUUCAAUGAGACAGAAUUCUGAAAAAAAAAAAAAAAGUUUGAUGUUAUUUACAUUCACUGUAACUAAUCUGAAUCACUGAUUCUGGUUGGGACUGACAUCCCUGUCUAAGUCCCAAACCUAGUAUGAUUUUGUAUGUAGAGCCAGUUUAAAGUCACAGGCUCAGCUAGGUCUAGCUAGAACUGAUGAAGGAUAGAAGAUACAGAUUAAACAUUUUUCUCUAUUGUGAGACUAUAAAUAAAAAAUUGAAUGUGACCUUAUAACCAAAUGAUUUAUUCAUUGCUAUAUUAUUGAUAUCAAUGUGAAAUGUGUUGCUUUGCUGAGAAAGGGAAGGAUUUUGUGAGGAUACUGAAUGGUUGUUUUUUUUUUAGUGUCCUUAAAGUACAAACUGAUGGGGUCUGCUUCCUCUGUAGAAAUGGUAGUUUUCACUCAAAAGAAUAAAUGCUGUCACUUUAUGCUUCACAACUCUAGAAUGUUUCAGUUGUAGUGAAAACCCAGGAGUUUCUUGGCUUUUUGCUUUUAGUGGAGGACACAUUACUCUGUGAGAGACUUUACUUGGACAAAAUAACAUAGAAAAUGUUAACUUAGAAAAUAGACCAAAUAAUCUGCCACAGCUGUAGUUGUUUUUGUUUUGUUUUGUUUUUUACAAAUCAGCAAUGAACAAUUUGAUCUAAUUCAGAAAUAAUCAAAGGCUGCAUAAAUAUUUGGCUGCUACAAGUUUAAAAUAGUACCACGAUAAAAUUUCACGUACACAUGUCUUCUAAGAACAUAUUUCUUGUAAAUUUCACUGCACUGAAUAAUAACUUGAAUUAUUUUUAUCAGUACAAAAGUAAGUCUCCCUACACUACUCUAUUUUUUAUUAACAAUCACUUUUUAAUCUGUAUAUACUAUAUACAGCUAGUAGCUCUUUCAUUUUUGUACUUUCAAUCUGCUUCACAGGGUAUUAAUUAUGCACAAGUUGGCUACAUCUCUUCUGUCAUACCGAACAGCCACAUCUGCAUUUAAUCAUUCAUUAUAUGCUGUAAUCUACCACCUAACUUCCAGUCACUUUUACUAUCUAAAAGCAAGUAGGAGGUACUUAAGAAUCUAUCCCUGAAUAUCUAAUUGCAUACUUAACUGAUUAGUUUUAUAUGACAGUCUCUUAUAAACAUGCUAAUAAGUUGAAGACUCUUAAUUUGUAUCUACAUGCUACUGAUUUCUGUAUGAUUAUACAUAAUGAACUCAUCAUGAUCACACUUAGUGCUGCUCUUCUGAGAAUCAUGAAAAUAAAUGCAGAGUUUGGAGAGAAGGAUGUAGACAAAGGCAGAAAUGAUCAGUAAUAUGUUGCUUUGUAAGAGAUUUGAUGAGAAACUUCAUUCAGGUUUGCUUUGAGAAAUGGCUUAUUCCAAAUAGUUCAAGAGGAAAUAAAAGGACCAUGAAAACCUGGACAAUGAGGUAAACAAAAGUGAAAAGAAUUCACACAGAUGCUGUUUUACACCUAGCUCAACUAAUAACACCCAUCAUGCUCAGAGAUACAGGAAAAAGUGAAUCCAUGCCAAAUAAACCACCUCAGGUGUCAGUACUGGUGACUUCUAGUUACUUCCAAGCAUCUCAGUUAUUCACAGAACAGAGGCAAUGGGAGAGGUCCAAAGGAACUCUGUAUUGCCAUGUCACUGCUUUUCUGAGUAUUUCAAUACCUCCAUUAAAGUAAUGCCAUUACUAUGACCAAUUCACAAGCUUGAUUGAAAUUUCUUUAACAAUGUACAAUGUUGCAGACAGGAUGAGGUUAUCCAUUCCACCUCUGCUUUUUCUAGGGCAAUAGCUGAGAAAGGGAGUUUUAAAGGUAAACAGAAAUCUGAGGUAAUUCCUAAAGAAAAUGAACACUUACUAACUUUAAAGUAGUUAUUGUUAUACAAAGUGAGUUUUUGGGGUUAGCACAAAAGAAGAACAGCAUUUAAGGUCAAUAAAGGUGCAAUACUUUCCAUUGUUCACUGCAUUUCUACAUAAGUCUUAGAAACAGCACAAUCUGUAGCUCUCUUAUACAUAUAGGUAGCCUCUGGAGCUAUAUCACGGUUGUCCGUGAUUUUUCACUUGUUAUUAAAGGGCAUGAAUUCUUCCAAAGGGCAAGGCUAGUGCAUUUACUCAGACACCUACGCAAAUUGUCCCAGGAUCCUAAUUUGAUGUACCUCAGUGGAAAGUGAUUAGGGUCAGAGGACUUAAGCUGUAUUCUAACACAUAUUAGAUUUAAAUAAUCCUGUCUCAUCUCUUCUGGCUCCUAACCAGUUUAUUUUAACACUAAGUGAGUUUGUUUGUAAAGUCUAAAUGAAUUUUAACAGCUUCUAGUGACAUUUUACUAGAAAACAGAAAAACUGUAGCAAUUCAGGUUCCAAAGUGUAUCAGCGUUCAAUUUUUGAGGGUUUCUCAGUAGACUGAACUUUCCAGAGAUCCUUAUCAUUCAUAUAAAAUAGAUUGGGAUAAUAUCCUCAGAGUUAAUCUAUUUAAAAUGAAUAGUGAUCUUAGAUCCUUUCGGCAUUGGAUUUGUUAAGAAGAAAGUGAUAUUACUGCAGAGUUAGUCCCACUUCCAAGGCCAUGCAAUGGCUUUUCUCAAGCAAUUAAGAAGCUGUACAACUUCUACCUUUAAGAUAACUGUGGAAGAUAUAAUCUUUUAAGAUUAGACUACUCUACUGAUAGAAUUUAUCUUCUUUUCUCUCAUUAAAUAUUUUAAGAUUCUAAUUAACAGACCCUAUUCAAGAAUUUCUGAGAUGAAUGAAGGCAUAUUCAUAUUUUCUGAGAGCACUUUAUUCAGUCUUAUUUUAAAAGCCUAAAUUACAUAUAAGGUAUAUAUGUGUUUUUAAAUACAUUAGUCAGAAGGAAAUGAGUAAUAAUGCUGCACUGUAUUGUGCUGAUCUGUCCAGGCAUAGAAGAGGAUAAGUUGCUAUAUUUAUUGAUGCAAAACUUGUGGAUAACCUUGGUAAACCUUGCAUUUCCUCUGCAAUAGCUACAAAUGGUGGUUAAUGUUAAGCGAGAAAUUUGCAGAAAGCUUAUUAAAAACACAGCCUGUUUCUGCAGACUUUGUUUCGCUUUGACAUUUUAACCACAGUUUACCAGGAUGUGUCAAAACUUCUUGACUAGUCAUAGCAAUCUCCUCAGAAAAUAUGAGGAAAAGGUUUCUGUGCUCUUUCUUUCUUUCCUCCUUCUUUCUCUAUCCAUAAAUAUUUCAUAGAAUCAUACAGUUUUUUGAGUUGGAAGGGACCCUUAAAAGUCAACGAGUCCAACUCCCCUGUAAUUAAUAGGGACAUCCACAGCUAGAUCAGAUUUCUUAGAGUUUGUUCCAGCCUGAUCUUAAAUGUUUCUAGGGACUGGGAGUCCACCACCUCUCUGGGCAACCUGUUCCAAUGCUUCACUGCUGUUAUCAUUAAAAAAAACUUUGUUCUUAUACCCAAUCUAAAUCUCCUCUCUUUUAGUUUGAAACUAUUUCCCCUUGUCCUAUUAGAAAAGACCCUACUAAAGAGUCUGUCUCCUUCCUUCUCAUAGCUCCUUUUAAACACUGAAAGGUCACUAUCACGUUUCCCUGGAGCCUUCUGUUCUCCAAACUGGACAGUCCCAGCUCUCUCAGCCUGUCCUCUUAAGGGAGUUGUUCCACCCCUUGGAUCUUUUUUAUGGCCCUCCUCUGGAUGCUUUCUGACAGAUCCACACCUCUCCUGUACUGAGGACUUCACAUCUGUCAUUGCUGCAGAGACCAGCUUUAGAGCAGGUAAGACUGCACUGAGUAAGGGACCUAAAGCAAAAAGGCCGACCAAAAAGCUCUUUUUAGGGCUUUUUUGAAGCUAGAAAAAGCACUGUACCAGUGCCAGGGGGCUGGCAUCUUGUGGGUGGGCUGCUGAGCCAGCAGGGGCAGAGCUGUCACUGCCCACUCUUAUCUCGUGAGUUCGACCUUGACCCUUUGCUGUGUGGCUAAAAUCAGCCUUCUGGAUGGCAGAAACAAGCUUCCACCCACUUAACACACCAGGUGAGAAAAGGGCGUUACCUUCCACUGACAAGAGGAAGGGAAGUCAGUGUGUGAGCACAGCCCACACUACCCAUAGAGUACUGCAGCAGCGGGUGUGAGUGGUGGGUCUUGUGGCAGGACACGUGAGUGUUUUUUGUCUUUGCUCAGACCGGGUCUCCUAUGGACAGACCCUGAGACCACCAGUUCAAACAUGGUCUCUACCAGGCAGCAGGCUUGCCCCAUGAAAACUGUGGAGACCCAGGCAGAGGGCCUGCCCAGAAAUGCUGCCGUUCAGGUCUCUGGCUGCAGGGAGUGCCUGAGCCUGCUGCUGCCAAGGGAGGAUGGGAAGGAUCCCACCUGCGUGAGGUGCGAGCAGGUAGACAAGCUGCUCAGCCUGGUGGUGGAGCUCAGGGAGGAGGUGGAGAGAUUAAGAACUAUCAGAGAGUGCGACCUUCUAGAGGCUUGGGGCAGAGUGGCUGGAAGACUGUGUAGAGAUGGACCUGAGGAUAUUGAUUGAUGCUCAACUGAACAUGAGCCAGCAGUGUGCCCAGGUGGCCAAGAAGGCCAAUGGCAUCCUGGCUUGUAUCAGAAAUAGUGUUGCCAGCAGGAACAGGGAAGUAAUUAUCCCCCUGUACUCAGCACUGGUGAGGCUGCACCUUGAGUACUGUGUACAGUUUUGGGCCCCUCACUGUAAGAAAGACAUCGAAGCCCUGGAUCGUGUCCAGAGGAGGGCAACAAAGCUGGUGAGGGGUCUGGAGCACAGGCCUUACGAGGAGUGGCUGAAGGAGCUGGGAUUGUUCAGUCUAGAGAAGAGGAGGCUCGGGAGAGACUGAAUUGAGAACGAUUCUAUGAUUCUGUAUUCCUCUUUUCCCAAAAGACUUAAUUCAAUACUCUUCCUAAACUGGUCAUUUGUUGGAAGCAUCUAACUUUACCACUAUAUAAAAUACAUAAACCAUUUUUCAUUACAUAAACUAUUAUCUUAACAGAUCAGGAUAAGAAAUGAAAAGUUGUUUUCUUGUGACACCAGCAAGGACAUCUAUGUAGGGGAAAAAAGGGAAUGUAUUAAGAAAGUAAACAACUGAUCACAGACAUCUCGGAGAAUGUGUGGAUCUUUUACACUGAGUUAUAAUAUCAAACUGCACUAGGGCAACAAGGAAUUCAAAAGGUUAUGCUUCUUUGCAUCUGUAAAUACAUGGAUGUUUGGAAAAUAUGUUUAAUGUUUUUAAAAAAUGAUUCAGCAAAGAAAAAGAGCAGUGCAGUGAGAUAAAAAGAUGAUUUAUCCUGUGGCCAGUGUGCUUCAAAUUGACCAGAGAAAGUAAUCUAAUCAGACUUUAUUAAACUGAUUCUGCAGUACAUCCCCAGUGCCUGGAAGCAUUGUCUGAGCUGGUCUGCAGUCUAAUCCUACUUUAGGAGGUUUGCCAACUAUUUAGCCUUUUCUAAGUAGAAAUAGAGCCACAAAAAUUUAAUUACUGCUAUUUUAAUAAGGAAAAUGUAAAACGUUGAUGAUGUCUGACAUAUGAAAGAAGCUGCAUUAGUGACAACAGUAUUUAAAAAACUCUGAUCAAGCACAACCUUUUUAUUUUGAGCAAGAUAUAGCAGAUAAUGUAGGCUCAAAAACCAGCCUAAAGAGCUGCUGCCAGGUUAUAUAAUCUCUGAGCACUCAUCCAAGGCAGUCCUGAAGCCAAACACAGAGAGGAGAAUUGCUAAGGGGUUGUGUUUGCUUCAACAGUUUCCCCCACUGCAUGACAAUCUCUGCCCCAUAAGCUGGCAGUGUUGAUGGUGGCUGUUUCAGAUUUCUAUAGAAAAAUAAGCUCAAUUCAUGUAAAAUAAUGUUUCCCACAGAUGACCUAAAAAGCAUGCCCAGAAAAUAAGUGCAGACUGUUGUCAGUCCUUGCUGGCAUUUGCAGAUGUCUAAGUUUCCUUCCAUCAUCCUUUGUAUGCUAGGUUAAAUCCUAGAAAGUUGCCAUGUCUCCUGGUAAAAAGAUUGCAUGGAGAAAUUCCUCUUCAAUCACACUACAAUGAACAAAGUUCCCAUGUUACAUUAUGGCAAUAAGUCACUACUUUUCAUGCACAUCUGUCAAUUUCAGGAGGUAUUGCAUUCCCUUGGGUGCAAUCCCCUUCAGUGUUUCACUGAAGAUAGGGUUACUGCUCUGUGUGGUUUCCUUUCACACAAGAGUAAUAUAGCACUUUUUCACUGAAAAAGGUCAGAAAAUUGCAACUUGUUGAUUACACUGUUCAAGAAGUUGCUCUCUCUUUUGCAUUUUGCCUGCAGCACUGCUACUGCACAAUAUUCCACUUUGAGUCUUGGGUCUACUUGUGAUUCUGUUUGUUUCUCCUGGACAAGCAGCACUACUUGUGUAAUCCUCUGAUGCAUAUUGAUGCCUUAAGUUGCUAACUCUGGCUUCUCUCCUUCUGCAUACUUCUAUUUCUUCAUGAACUUGUCCUUCAAGGCACAUGUCAGUAUUUGUUGUGGAAUGGACAAUGGCUGCCAGUACUCAAGUACUGUCUUUCCUUUUUGCCUCAACCAGGGUGGGCUUGCAUUUAUAGCCCAGUAGGCCAACUGUAUCCUAGGCUACAUCAAGAGAGGGGUGGCCAGCAAGGCAUGGGAGGUGAUUGUUGUCCUCUACUCUGCCCUCAUGAGGCCCCAUCUGGAGUACAGAAUCCAGAUCUGGGGCCCCCAGCACAAGUGGAGCAAUUGGAGGGGGUCCGGAGGAAGUCCAUGAAGAUGAUUAGAAGGCUGGAGCAUCUCUCCAAUGAAGAAGGAGGUGUUCAAGGCCAGGUUGGAUGGAUCCUGAGCAAUCUAAUCCAGUGCUUGAUUUAGAGGUUGGCAACAUUGCCCCAUGGCAAGAAGAUUGGAACUAGACGAUCCUUAAGGUCCCUUCUAACUCAAGCCAUUCUGUGAUUCUGUGUUUCAAUGAUUCUAUGAUAGAUGUAUGUGGAAACAGGGAAGUCUUGAGUUUUAAGGGUACAAAUGAUUUAGAUUUCCAUGGAAGGAAUUUUGCCUUCCAGAGUUCAUUCUGGGAUUUAAUUCUGUUUUAAAAUCAUUUGACCAAUGCUAGCGUGCUUCCAUAAUACUCACUGAUGGGUAUUGUUUCACUUAUAUGCAUUUUACUUCAGGGAACAUUGUGAAAAUAUUUCACUUCUUAUGUCUGCAAAAAUAUGGAUUAGAAUUGCUCAAUCCAAAAAAAAGAACAAGCAAAUAAUGUCAAGUUCACAAAAUUAAAGGCAAUUAUAGACUAUUUUAUAUACAUUUAAAAAAUAAAGCAAUAAAUGGCCAGUUUUGAACAUUCUCAGUGAUCACUAGAGAUUAGCUGUUAUGUUUUAUAUUCUCUGUUAUCUUUCAAGCAGAAAACCAAAUUUCUAGCCUGUUUCUUUAAAAUUCCUAGGUUUUGUAUGUGUGGUGCUCAUUCAAUUAUUUUAUAUAUUUAUUUUGCUUGUUUGAUGGCUUUGCAUUUGGAAGGCUGCCUGAGGAGAGAUGCCUGAAGGAAAAGAGGAAAUCCAGACAACUAUAAAAAUAUCCUACAUGUUUUCACAGCAAAAAAUGCAUGGGCACAAUGGCAGAUCUCUCCCAUGUUAACGCUGCAGCUGCAUAUAACAGAGGAGACUGCAUCACUAUCACCCUGGUGUGACAUUUUUGUGAGAUGCAGUUAGUACAAUGCUGUGACAUUUACAGUGUUGUGCACUGCAUUUAGUGGCAGAUCUGCUAACAACAGCAGAUCUAUUCCUGGCCACAUAGAGUGGAAUGCUGCCUACUCACUCUCUCCUCUCUGCAUUGGUUUCCUGCCCUAAUGUACGUUACAUUUAGAACUUUGAUGUUAACUGAAGGCCAGCCAAAAAAGGACUUGGAAUCUGAAUGCUUUCAUAUUUCUGGAUAUGGGGUGGUUUUGAAUUUCCAGAUUAGUAGUAACUCAUCUGAUGUUAGUGUUGAGUUGUUUCCAGAACCAUAUGGGACCUAAUUUCUAAUGCAGCCAAGAACUUAAAGCCAAUCUGAAGAAACGUGGGACAAGCUGACAAAAAAAAAAGUAUCACAGGCAGAAUAACAGUGAAAGAUUUACAUCAGUUUCCCCCUCAUAAACUUUAGUCAUUUGCCUUGAAGUUACUCAGAAGUUACACCGAUGUCUAUUAUUUUCUUAUUCAGUGGUACAAAUGUUCAUACUCAUCUCAUCUGUGUAAAUAUACAUCCGUGUAAAUAUGAAAGUGAUUAGAUCAAAGAAAACUCUCUUUUUCAUUUUCCUGAAGUAACUAAUUUUAUCAGCUAAGCAUUAAGUGUACUUUUUAAAAUGAUCGUUCAUGCUUUCGCUGAUAAACAGGAGAUAACUAACUGCAUGUCCCAGGCAACUACUUUAUUGAAGUGAGAUGAAUGAUCUUCUGAAGGCUCCCUUCUUCAUGAGCUGCAGUGAUCCUAGACAGUUAUUCUAGACAUUUGGUGUUUAGACAUCUCAGUGUUUUCACACAACUCUGUGUUCCUACCCUUUGUGUAACUUUUAUAUGCAAAAACCAUUGAGCAAUGUAAAAUAUGACCCCCAUUUUAGAACAAUCCCAAGAGAAUUUUUUUUUUAAAUAAAUUUCAUCUACCUGGAAAUGUUAGGACAAAAGUAAGAUUUUCAUGGUUUUCCAUUACUCCCUGUAAAAGCAGAGAAAAAAAGUCUGUUAGAUCUACGAAUAAAAGGAAAUUGGCUGAAAAGAGCUAAUUCAUAAUGAAACUAACUUGUCAGACUAUUUUCAUAGCACUAUCUGUACAAAGAUUAAAAAAAAAAAACACCUCUCAUAAAAUAUUAAUGCUUUAACCUUUAAGUUAUUAGCCCUUAUAAAUUUAAACUACUGCUUACAUUGUAGAGAUGGAAAAGUUUAAGCUAACAGGAAGAGAUGAAAACAGGGCUUUAUCUUCUCUCUCCUAUGGCUGGGUUUUUAAUAUGUUAUCAUUCUUCUCUCUCUCUAAAUCAGUAAAUUAAGUGAUGUUAAUCAUCUCAAAAGCAGAUACACUUCUAGUACAUGUGUAACACACACUAAAGACACAUUUGAGCCUCCCUCACAAGAGAAAGGAUUGAUCAAAUAUAGCUCUUCAGUGCGAGGAGGCACUGGGACAUCAUUUUUUCCCAGUACCUUUCCCAAAACAGUAGCAUAAAAAACAUCUCUAAAAUGCCUGUAGUAGAAAUCAGUAUAGCCAGUAGGAUCUCAACACAACAGAUGAAACUGAAGUGCAUAAAUAGUGAAUUGCACUGCAGCCAGCUUUUUAGUUUGUGGGAGCUUCAAUUACCACAUUCUCCCCUUUACAAGGCAUGAGGAUGCAACACAUUUGUGGCAGGGUAAUGUGAGCACUCCCUGCAUCCACAUCACAGGCUGAACCCAUCACCACUCACAAAGAGCACAUGCAGCUGGGGUAAAUUCAGCCUGGACAUUUCAGUCGUCUUUGGCACCGAGGAAUGGGAAUUUUUUAAUGUAUGUUAUUCUUCUGAGGAAUGUAAAAUAUUUUCACUUGGGACUUUUAAAUCCUCAAAUGUACACUCUGUGAACUGUUGACAUGAUGUUUUCAGGUCAAUAUUUCAACCAGAUUCCAAGAAUCCAAGAAUCAGCAGCUGCUAUUGUAAUUUUCCUAUGGGCUUCUAUUAAGUUGUUUCAAAAUUUGUGUUAAAAAUCAUGCUGGGAUAGAUCUGGAAAGGUGAAACAAGCAAGCAAAAAACUUUUGAAAAUUAUAUUUGCUCUGCAAAAAUGAUUACCCAUUUGCACAUUAAUAUGCACUAUUUUGUAUGUAUGUGUAAGAGAUUAUUCUUUUAUAUCAUUGACUCAAAGUUUGCUGAGGAACAAGUCCAGGCAAGUCCUGGGCAAAGGCAGAGAAAUCUUUUGUCUUGAGGACACUGAUGGACAGGUCCUGGCUAAGGAUUGUGAAAUCCUCUAAGGAGCACAGAUGGACAAGGCCAGGGGCAUCGAGAGAGAGAUAAGCUGCUGCUAAUGGCCGGGAAACGGUCUUUUUGUGUGGACUUAUCUCAAGGAAAAUGGCCAUCUCAGGAGGUAUGCACAGGACUCUUGCUCAAGCACCCAGGAAUGUCACGUAGGCAGCAGAAAAUGGAGGAUAAAAGAGGGUCCAACAACCACGGCUAGGUGGAGGCUGAUCUCUCACCACGACACGAGCUUUCUGCCUUCAGAUCCUUCUCUACGGACCGUUUGCUGACGGACUUCCCUGGGCCUGCUACCUGAGACCUGCUGCUUCCUCCCUGACCUGCACUCUCUCGUUGCCCAAGACCGGCCUCGCUGCUCCUGCCCUUCGGCGUCGGAACCUCGUGCUACGGGACUGCUGCCGGAUCCUGGUGGUUACUAUCCCCGCUUUACGCAAUUCUUGCCUCUUUCUAUCUUUUCUAUCGCUCGCCUUCCCUUCCCCAUCACCCCAAUCCUUAAUGAUGUCCGUCCUCCCCUUUCCCCAUCUCCCUUAUUAACAUUUGUAAUAAACUGGUCGGACCAACAUUUGAACCGUUGUUUCUUAAUCUCACGCCAGGCAUACAUAUUUCAAAGAACCUCCUCUCCCUCCUAUAAAUUGGAGUGAGACAGUAUGUAAGCAAGUGCUUAUAUUUAAAAUCAAUUAAAAAAUCUCCCCUAAGAAAUCAUGUCAUGUUACACACAAUUAUAUGCACAACAAUGCAUUGCACAGGGGCCUUGUAUCGCUGUUUCUUUGGCAAAGCAGUUGACUAGUACUGCAACCGCAAUAACCACUCUUUCAAGGUUGUGGAAAACUCUGGAUUUCACUGCAACUCUUUCCUCCCUGAAUAUUCAGAUUUCUCUUUAAAGUUAAGGAGGACGUAUGAGGGCAUGAUGUGCAUACAGGUAACAUUCUGAUAUAAAGGCUUUUUUUCAUACAGCUGAGAUGCAGGCAGUGGUUUGGCUGUGAACACAUUGAAGAGGAGAACUUAUUUAAGAGUGAACUCAGGUCAUAUGUUUCUAAACAUUCUUCAGCAAACAUUAGGCAUCUUAACAGUGUAUGAUGGCCUUGUCUUCCUGCGUAGACUUGACUGAGUAAAGAAUGAUCCCUUAGAUAACAAGAAUUUACCUACAGGCUCUAUAGGAUUCCUAUAUUUAGCCAUAAACAACGGCAGUAACAGAACAUACUGUAUUUUCCUUCUGCUCCAGUUAGUGUUAAGUGUUACAAAAAUUAACUGAUACAGACUGUUAUAUUCUUUGCACCAAAAUCUUUGUGGAAAGUGACAUCGCCAUGUGCUUUGUAACUAGCGAGACAUUUUUUU